rnacentral:pre_miRNA from 1 species
CAACUACUCCCUCCGUUCGGAAUUACUUGUCACAGAAAUGGAUGUAUCUAGACGUAUUUUAGUUCUAGAUACAUCCAUAUCCGAGAUAAGUAAUUCCGAACGGAGGAAGUAUAUA